rnacentral:rRNA from 1 species
AUUGAACGCUGGCGGCAGGCCUAACACAUGCAAGUCGAGCGGAGCGGCGGACGGGUGAGUAAUGCAUAGGAAUCUGCCUGGUAGUGGGGGAUAACGUCCGGAAACGGGCGCUAAUACCUCAUCCUAUCAGUUGAGCCUAGGUCGGAUUAGCUAGCUGGUGGGGUAAAGGCCUACUAAGGCGACGAACCGUAACUGGUCUGAGAGGAUGAUCAGUCAAACUGGAAAUGAGACACGGUCCAGACUCCUACGGGAGGCAGCAGUGGGGAAUAUUGGACAAUGGGCGAAAGCCUGGUCCAGCCAUGCCGCGUGUAUGAAGAAGGUCUUCGGAUUGUAAAGCACUUUAAGUUGGGAGGCGUUACCAACAGAAUAAGCACCGGCUAACUUCGUGCCAGCCGCCGCGGUAAUAC